rnacentral:lncRNA from 7 species
AACCUCCUCCAUUCUGAAAGGGAACUAAUACAACCGGUGAGGAGAACCUUGGUUCUGCUGAAACUGGUGGAAAAAAUUGCAUAUAUUUUGAUAAAUUUGAAUGUUCUGAGAUACCUUUGCAAAAUUUAGAGAGAAAGCAUCACCCGGAGUGUGCAUUUCUGCUCUACAACAUGACUGCUGCUGUCCAAACUGACAUCUUCAGCUGAGAAACAAAGGGGUGAGUCAGUCCAGAAUGAACCUUCCAUGGCAUCAGUUUGGACCAGCACUGUUAUUUGGCUCCUGCUGAGGAAAAAGGACCAGCCUCAUUGGCGACUGUUUAAUCCUGAUUUAUUUUCUGCCCUAAGUGUCUUUCAGAUAACAUGACUUUUUCCCAGGCUGCUGGAAUUUAGACUCAUCCCUUAAGUAUGUACCAGAUAAAUAUAGGGAAUAGGUAUCUCUGCCCUCUUUCUAUGCUUUGAAGCCUCCACAGUCAAAGGUUCCUAGAAGAGAACGUGUCAAGAUAGUAUCUACUCUAAACCCAGUGACUUGUUCCAGUGGCUGUUGUAUCCAAGUGCAGACGUCAUUGCUCAUGAGCAUGUUGGUCCUCAGUGUAGAAGAACCUAGAAGAACUGCAUAAUGGAGUAGUCCAAUCAAUACUGAUAAACACAGAAUUUCUUUGAAGAUCUGUAUUCCACGAGAAAAAAGAUGAGUACAUCUGUUUUCAUGAGGACAAAAAAGAAAUGGUACUAGUCAUAAUAUUCUUGUCAUUCAUGCCCCUGGCCAGCUACAAAAGGAGCAGUAACUGUGCAGGUUAUGGACCUAUUUUGUAUAAUACGUACUUCUUUUCAUUAUUCAGUCAAUUCAGUCAUACAUAUAUACAUAAACAUCAUCAAUCUCUUGCUUAAAAGUUAACCCAGACUACAUAUUCAGGCAACCUUUCUGUCUUCCUAGCAAAGCUGAGCCAGUAGACUGAAAUGGAAAGGCAGAAUCAUGAACCAGUGUUCCUUAUUGACAAACAACCUCUCAAAGGGCCUUGGGACAUGGUGACAAUCAACCACCUAGUCAAUUGUCUUUAGAAUGAAAAAUGAGCAGUAGUGGGAGUUGGAACUGGAGCCCUGAUAACUUCUAAGAUAGUGAUCUCUAUCUUAUUUCAUUUAUUAGCCUUUAGUCUUGAAAAAGGAAAUGAUAAAUUCCCUUGUAGUGAGUGAGAAAAGGCAAUUCUACCUGUCUCUAGUUGGCUCUUUGAAAGCAGCUGCUCAGAAGAUGAAUUUCAUCCCAGUCUGUAGUUUAGAUUAAGGCAUGGUUGUCCAACUUUUUGGCUUGCCUGGGCUGCACUGAAUGAAGAGGAAUUCUCUAGGGGAUGCAUCUACA